AGGGCUAUAAGUUUAAAGCCUGAUUUCCAGAGCUCUGCAUGGUUUCUGCAUUAACAUGGAUAAUAAUACUUUUACCCGCUACUAUCACUUCAGUUUGGGUUUGCACACCAGCAGAACAUUCAGUUAUUUAGAGCAGGUUUCAUUUUUUCCAUUAGGUAAUGGAUAAAUCUGCGUGUGUAGGAGGCAUUUAUUCUGGUAAAUAUGACUCUGUGCUCGUGUGUUUCUGUCUCAGGCUGGACCCACUUGAGUCUGGACACGGAGAGUCCUCCUUCCAGAACCGUUUGAAGAUUAAGACUCGGUUUUUAGGGUCUGACUCGGGUAAAGGUGGGGGUCAGGUAUGCAGCCGUGGUGGUAAAGGUUUGAAGGGUCAUGGAGGAUCCUCACAAAGGUAGAAGCGCAGACGUGAUGGACUCUGCAGCUGUUAGGAGAUGGCACCUCCUUCUUGUCUUUUGUUGUCCAAUCUGCAUGCUUUUAUUUUGAAAAGCCGCUUUUCUUUGAAAGUCUGAGAUGCUGGAAAGUUUUCCUGGAGGAGUUUUUCUCUGGGUUUUACUUUCUUUCUUGGUUUGAUCUCCGUUUUUCUCUCUGUGCUCAGCUCGAUUCAAACAUUCAUCACCUUGGCACGGCUGUCACUACGCUGUUGCCAAAGCAAUAAAAUACAUAACAAUCUGGAUCCAGCUUGUAUGUGUAUGUGUGUGCGUGUUGGGUGCGUGUUGAUGUAUUUCCCAUCAGCCCCGGUCAUCUUUAACCCAGCCCUUUCCCAGAAUCCUCCACUGACUCACUUGAAGCUGGAGUCAGCUGUUUGAAUAGUCUGAACAAAGAAAAGUCAUUUUAAGGAAGCAACGUGACGCUCAGUCACAGCUGGUCACACCUGUUUCGGAAUUUUUACCUGCAGAACCGGACGGCUGCUUACAUAACGUCAGUCUGCUGUUGUGGCGUAGGCAGAGAAGAGCCAGUCUCUGGAGGAAGACAGUCUCUUGUUUAAGGUUAAAGAAAGUGUUUUAGGGAGCCUGUUUGCGGAGGAACCACAUCAGUUACACGUGUGGAAAAUCCCACAUGGUUCCUGCUGUUAGCAUGUGGGCCGCUCCACAUGCACGGUUAUGUCCAUCAUAUGGUUCUGGUUGGUUCUCAGGAUAGAUGGAGGGUUGUUCUGUGAUGAAAUGAUGAGAUACGAUCAAACAUGUGAGUCAGACUCACUGGGGACAGAUUUCUCUGUGUUAGUGCUGAUUUUCCUCGUCCUGCAGCUGUCAGUGUGCGACCAAGUCCUGAUAAGUUUCUGUUCUGGUUUUCAUCAAAAAUGAUUCAGUGGUUUUUUGGUCUUGAUUAUAUCUAAGAUGACUCCAUUUCAGCUCGUCCUGGCUCUUCUUUGACAGGUUUGUCUCUGAGUCUGCAGAUCUGCCGCUCCUUUAGUGACUAAAUGAUCAGACUGGAUCGAAUCACUUUGGGAUCUUUUUCUUUUUGAGGGGAAUAGAGGGAGGAAAGAGAGGGGACAGGGGCUAAGGAGAGACAGGACCUAUGAGAAGACAUGCAGAACCGCAUGCUCCUCUUCCAAAAACAUGCUCUUCUGAAAACAUGCUCCUCUGACAGCAUGCUCAUACUCAUUUAAAAUGCUUUCAGUGCAUUUUAAAUUUCACAUUUAAAUUUCAUCCUCAAAUGUUCAAAGUUUAUUCCUUUAAAAAUGCAGCAGUGCAUGUAUUAAACAUUUGAUCAGAGUCAGUCUGCAGUUACGCUGAGAUCAUCCUGAUGGCUGACUGAUGUCCAGGGAUCUCUAGUUAAUGCAACAGCGUCUGCAGUCUUCAGGAGUUCCACUGUGGUUGGUUUCAGUGCAGUGCAGGUCCUGAAAGCAUUUGGACAUGCACAGAGUUGUCUGAUUUGAGGUUGAGCUGAAUUGGAUCAGAAUCUUCCGAUCGACAUGUUUACAUGACGCAUUUUUAUUCCAGUCUGCAUUUAUUCCGAUUAUUUGUGCCCAUGUAAACACAACUAAUGUGAGGACAUCCUACAGUCCUGAAUCUUCCUCAGUAACUGACCGACAGUCAUGUCCUUUAAACAGUGCUGUACUUAUUGUUUGUGUUUAAGUUUCAUCCUCAGCUCCAUGCUGGUUCUCCUUGAUAAUGCUCUAUCAGCUGUUGUGAGGUGUUAACCUGCUGACAUCAGUCUGAUCAGCUGCACCUGCAUACUUGGCUCACAGCAGGUAGCUCGAACUCAAAGUAUGUUAUGUGAUGGUAUUAUUUCCAUCACUGCUGCAGAGAGAGGGCUGACUGCUUUGGCUCUGCUAUGGUGGGUCAAAGGAAAACUAAAGACAGGUCAGUCAGACCUUUGUCAUAUCCAGUUUAAAGUUAAUUUCAGUCAAGUUCUGACCUUUUUGUCUUUCUGAAAUAAACUCCAAGAAACCCAGAUGCCAGUCCUGAUCCUCACCAACUAUGGGUUGUAAUUUUGGAGUAAAAGUCCGGGUCGGUUUUCUGUCAAUUCUUCCCGAGCUUGUUGCCUUUCUUUGAGUAUGACUCUCACAGUUAAACUGCUCAGAUCUUGCUCAGAUCUGGCACACACACAAGCACACACGCAGUCUUGUGCACACACAUUGACAUACAGUCUAUCUGAGUUAUGUAAGCUGUUACUCUGACCACACCUCACAGUCUGAUCCUCUGACUGUAGACAGUUUAUCUUAUGUGUCAGCUGGAUCCUUUGACUGUCUCAUACAGGUGUGAUUAGUCAGCUCAUCUGGUUCAACCUAUUGCCAGGACUGCGACUGUUCUUGUGUAACAUCUGGUGUAAGUGCAGCUUCCUCAUUUUUCUUUCUGAUCUAGAAGUGUUUACCUCACCUGAUCAAGAUCACCAAUUUCUCUAAUCUGGAACGCUGAAGAUUUAACAUCUGAUCUGGGGUUGUUUCAGUCUAAUAGAUUCGGAUUCAAAUCCCAGCCCCCACCUUCAGUUCAGUUCGUUAUGAUUAUUGAUAUUAAGUCCGUUGCUGUUGGAGUAACUAAACAAACAUGCAUGUUGAUACAGUGAGAUUUGGAGGGUGUGUUUUCAGGUCAGAGGUUGGUGUGAUGGAAACUUGAUAAACCUCAUGGUGCAGGUGUAGAUUCAGCUGCAGCGUGUUCUGCAAGGCAGCAGGUCCAACAGGCGUGCAGCUGAAAUCAGUCCUUUAGGAAGUGGUGAGUUUUCUGCAGAAAAAAGCAGGUGAAGGUGUGGUCCAGAGCAGGAAGUUGUUGGUCUGUGAUGCUCUGGUAGAUUUUGUACUUGCUGCAGAGCUGAAGGAGACUGGUUUACCCUCUUGAGCAGAGAUGUUCAGAUUCUUCAGGGCCUCUUUGACCACAGCUGCGGUGCUUUUUUGUGUGUGCGCUUUUGUUAAUGACUAAAUAGUUAGUCAUGUUCUCUGUUUGGGGCUCAAACUGGUUGUUUAUCAUGUGAAAAACUGACACCUUUGACUUCAAUCCAGCGGAGUCUCUGUGACACUGACAGUGUGGAUGUGAGGUGUCCCCCUGAUCCUCCUGUUUAUCUCUUUUCCCACGUGACCUGAACGCAGCAUUCCUCUGGAGUUACAGCACAUGCCGCCUCUAAUUGCAGAGAAUUAAUGCUGGGGAUUCUUCAGGGACUCAAAUACCCAGAAUGCCGCAGAGGUGACAGUGACUGUGUGGGGUUACAUCAGAGGAUCAGACUUGACUAAUGUUAAAGGUGGGAGGACAGAGGAGGAGUGUCAUCCCUCCAUCUGGAGUCAGGAGGUCAUCAUCACUCCGCCUACUGUGUGUGUGUGUGUGUGUGUGUGUGUGUGUGUGUGUGUGUGUGUGUGUGUGUGUGUGUGUGUGUGUGUGUGUGUGUGUGUGUGUGACACAGCAUGUGUUUCCCAUCUGGUUCCACCCAGUCCCUCAACACUGACUUCAUCCUGACCCCUCUCUCUCUCUCUUUCCCUCUCUUUCCCUCUCUCUCUCUCUCUCUCUCUCUCUUCUUUCAUUCACACUUUGGUUUUCCUCUCGAACACACUCAUCCUCUCUCUUUCUUCCUCUUGCUCUUGUUUCCUCCCUUCUCAUCCCUCCUUCCCUCGUCUCCUUUCCUCAAAGUAACUCUACACCUUGACCUCACGCUCCUCUCUCUCUCUCUGUUUGUGUGAAGUCAUCAGACAAACUUUCCUCGGCCCGACUCCAUGAACAUGCCGUCAUCCUCCGUCUCUUCAUUCUCUGCCCAUCGUUCUGUAUCUCUUGGGAUCAGUUCAUGUGUUCAUCUGAAACGUGUCCUUUAAUCAAGUUUGUGCGGUGGUAAAGUGUGAGUCCGUGACUGCAGGAUGAGGUCAUUUCAUUUCUUUCCUUUGUCACUUUAAUAACGGCGUGUUUCAUUUUCUGAACCUCUGGUAACAGUCUUGCCGUCUCUUCCUGUUGUUUUUAAAGAUCCUCUCGCUUGUUUCCAGAAGACUCUUUAAACAAGUGAACAGAAAUGGAAACACGAUGAAUUAGCUCACGUUGUUGGCAGACGGUUUCCACUUGCCUAGAGGAGGAAACAACAAGUCAGAACUGGAUUCGUCUGAGCCAAACUGCAGCACUGAACCCCUGAGAGGACUCCUUCUCGAACACCUCUAUGAUGUGGCGCUUUAUGCAGCAUCAGUGACAGUCACCAUUUCCUCUACCCCGUGUCUGAUUUUACCAAAGUUAUCAGGAUUGUCACAGAUGUUGCUCUUUUCUUUCACUGCAUGCUCACAAAACAGAAGGGGGGUAUGCCCCCCCCCACCUCAGGCUUUAAAUUUACAACAUUAAAAGCAAUAAUGGGGUGGGAGAAAAAAUCGAUACAGUGUAGUAUCACGAUAUUUUGUCUGGUGAUAUAUUGUAUCGUCUCAUUUACCAAGUUUCCAUUUUUCAAAUUAAUUGUUAAUAUGAAGUCAAAUCUAUGAUAAUGGAAAAAUAAAAUCACCUGUUUGUCCAGUGAGGUUGGCAGAGGUGACAUCAAAGAGCAGAAGAAAGUUAGUGCAACAAAUAUAUAUAAGGUUUGCAAGAUGUGCUAAAUGAACAUAAAAUAUCGUGUAAAUAAGACAAACAUAAAGGAAAGACAAAUGCUAAAUUAGCUAAACAGUCAAAAUUGAAAUUGUAUAAAUCGCAAUAUAUUGUAUCCCAAUACUCACUAUAUUGCAAAAUGUUAAAAAUCACAAUAAUAUCGUAUUGUGGCCCAAGUAUCAUGAUAAUAUCGUAUCGUUGGGCCACUAGUGAUUCCCACCCCUAGUCAAUAAAAGCAUCUGCCAUUACGUCAAGCAUGAAUUAAACCUGAAAUUACUCUGCUUUUGUCCUUCAUCAAUCAUUUUGAUCCAAAUAUUGACUUUUAUGCCCUUUAUUAGAUGCAGCCAAUAUGUACGCACAUGAUACCUGCUCGGUAUUGUAACCUGGGAGGUUUUUGCUGAUGCUCUCUCAACCUUGGCCAGUGUCUUUUUUGUUCUGAUUGAUGCAUCAUACUGUGGCUUUAAAGGUAGAAGUCUUGUGUUUCUGCUGCGGAGGACGGUGGACUGUAGGGCUGGGAUGAUAUGCUUUUCAUCCGAUUCAAUUCUUCUAUGGUUUUUAGAUGUUUAUUUGAUUUAAAUUAUGAUUCUACAAUAUUGUUGAUUCUUUUGCUUUUUAGUCUGCAUUUUUAACACUAAUGAAACAGUUGAAUGAUUAUGAUUGUCGACUGACUGUUCCAGGAACCAUAUCUCCCCAAACUUGCGAGUGAAGUGAAGAUAAAAAACUUACGCUGAAAAUGGCAAAUAGAGCUUGGUGAGUGACCAUCGGAUGGUCACUACAUUUUGCAGUGCGAAAUUUUGAGUCGCCUAUAUGGGGCAUUGGAAUUGAUCACUCAGGUUUCGGACACCCCUCAAAAUGGCAUUAAUGCUCAUAUGGUCGCCUAUAUAUACAUUUCGGACACAGCCUUAUUGUUAAAUUUAAACAAAAAAAUCAAUUUUUGAACAAAACAAAUUGAUUUAAAAAUUGUAGAACAAACAAUUGUGACAAUUAUGUGAAUUGAUUUUUUCUCCCACUCCUAGUGGACUUACUAGAGCUGAGAUGGAGCAGAAGUAGGAAGUUAAAAUCACUCACUGAAGUUCAGAUCGAUCUAAAUGUAAAGGUUGUAAAAGUCUUAACAGUCCUUUGGUCUUUAUGGGUUCAUUUGAAAACCCUCACCAGCGCUCAUUCAGGUCCAGCCAACCCCUGACAGAGAGCCUUGACCCUUUGGGCUCUCCGUCCCUCUACAACUUCCUGGGUCGGAAGCAGGAGUGAACGAGCGGCACUCGAAGGCAGCAUCAGUCUUCAUGUGCUCCCUUAGAGUCGGCUGUCUCUGAGCACUAUCAGUCUUCCCAUUCAGCUUCCUGCCCUAUAAAUAUUUGAGCAGCCCCAUUAGAGGGUGAGGUAAUCUCAGCGCGCGCACACACACACACACACACACACACACAAAUAUUAAGCAGUGUAGUAAGGCCUAAUAGUCCUGUCGGAGCACUAGGCCCCCGAGCUAACCGGCUAAUUAAGAGCGAAACAGGUUUAACGAGUUUAGACUGUUCAUUAAGGCAGAGAGCUGAUUAAUUAAGAGCGAGAGGAGAGCUCGUUAACCAGACCAGUGAUUAAUUAAAGCACAGACGACAGAAAGUGUAACUUUAAAUGGAGAAAAGGUGAGAAAUGAUUACUACCGCAGUGAGGAGAAAAAUGGGUGGAAAAUUAUAAAAGAGGAAGAGGUGAGAAGGAGGAGGAGGAGAAAUGAAACAACGAGAGAGAGAGAGAGACAGAGAGAGAAGUCAAAAAAAGAAAGAGAGCUGAAGAGGGAGUUGGAAAUGAGAAAAAAAGCAGGAAGGAAGGAGAGAAUAAAGGUGAGAGAAGGGAGGGGAAAAGAAAAUGUUCAAUAAAGAACAAACAGAGUUAGAGUGACAGAGAGAAAGAGAGAGAGAGAGAGAGACAGAAGGGAGGUAGAGGUCAAAGAGACACAAAGACAAAGAGAGACUGUGGAGGGGAAAACAAUAGCUCCACACAACAAUUACACACACACACAAACUCUCACUCUCUCACACACUCACACUCACAGUUAGCUGAAUGUGGUCUCUUUGUGCUCUCCGGUGCAGAGGCCGGGUCGUGUGAUCGUCUCCUCCUCGGACAGCUGAGGUCGGGAGGAGAAGAAUCACUUCAGAACACUGAGCUGAGAGACAGAAACAGACAUUUGGAUCCAAAACAUCCAAAAAUCAAUCAAAUCAGAGACAGAUCUUUAUAUCUGUGGAAGUUACAUUUAAAUUAAUUCCAUUUAUUUAUUUCUCCUGUUUGUUUGUUUGUUUGCAUGUCUGAACUAAGAGCUCAGUUUUACUUUAACUUGGUGUGUCUGAUCCCGAUUCAUGGCGCAUAAACAGCUCAAUAUGAGCCAUGAAUAAAAACAGCUGAAAUGCAGUACUGGUACAACUUUAACCAAACAUCAAGGCUGGUCAUGACUGUUAGUUUUGUAUGUUUUUACUACAGGGUCAACAGGCAGGGAAUGAUGGAGAUCUUCCAUCUGAUGGAGGUGAACAAAUCAAACACACCUCCCCUGUCAGUAGGAACAGGUCUCCUCUGAUACUGUCAGUAAGGCGGAAAGGGAGGUGAGAGGUGAGGAAGGCAGUGAGGGGUCUGAAAAAAAAGGACAUAAAGGAGGAUGUGAGGUGAGAGAGAAAGAGGAGAGGAAGGAGGAGUGAAGGUGAGAGAGGAGACAAAAGCAGAGAGGAUGAUGGGAGGAGAGCAGACCUUGGAAGAGGAGCAGGUGCAGCUGACAGAGCCUUCAUCUGUUCCUAUGGUUUCACCUCAGUGUGUGUGUGUGUGUGUGUGUGUGUGUGUGUGUGUGUGUGUGUGUGUGUGUGUGUGUGUGUGUGUGUGUCCUCACAGAGAGAGAGCAUGAGACAACAGUAGUAAAGACUGCAGGAGUAAAUGAGAGCAGUGUCACAUCGGGUGAGUGUGUGAAUGUUUGUGUGUAACUGUGUAUGUGUGUCUAACUAUGUGUGUCUGCAUGUGUAUGUGAAUCUAAGAGGUGGCGUUUGUGUAUCCUGGUCUCUGUGUAGCUCUCUCUCUCUCUCUCAUUGAUGGUCUUGUUCGGUGUCCUCUAUGGUCUGUACCAGUCUGUAGUUUGAGUGAAAUCGUCAGCUGAAAAUGGUUAAACUCCUGCUGUAUGUUUAUAACCCUAUACUGGUCAAACUGGUUUCUAAACACUGGACUAGACUAAACCUGCACAUGUACAGUAUGUUAACCUAAAAGGAGACCGAAGUCUGGUGGAGCUAGUUCUGCUGAUGUUAGACCAGCACCCUGGUUCUUUAAACUCUGAUCCUGUGUGUCGUGUAUUAGAGAGCUCAGUUUCUCUAAAGUUUUCAGACCUGUUGUUGUUUCUGUUGUUGUUGUUACUCUUUCUGUUGAUACUGUUAUUGUUUGUGUUGAUUUGCUGCUGUUUCUGUUAUUGUUGUUGUAACUGAUCCUGUUGAUACUGUUGUUGUUGCUGUCACUGUUGUAGCUGUUUCUGUUGUUGUUGAUUCUGUUGAUUUUGUUGCUGUUUCUGUAGAUUCUGUUGUUGUUUCUGUUGAUUUUGUUUCUGUUGUUGUUUUUCUUCUUCUUUUUCUUUUUCUUCUUCUUCUUCUUCUUCUUCUUCUUCCUUCUCUUCCUCUUCUUCUUCUUCUUCUUCUUCUUCUUCUUCUUCUUCUUCUUUCAGCGUUAGAACAUCCUAGGAUGGUAAACCUGAUCUGUUCUGCUUAUAAGGAGGUUGAGCAUCAUCUCUGAUUCUACGUUCAUGUUUCAGACAGUAUUUGACGCAUGCCCAAACAAAAGCCGCUCCUCUCUAACCUCUCCGCCAGAUCCUCUCUUCCUCUCUCGUGUUUUGGCGUCAUGAUCAUACGCAGGCUGACGCAGUCUGAGCAGGUCAAACAUGGUAACCCUGUGUUGUAUUCCUGGAGGUCACGGAGCUGAUGAGAUGAGUCUGUCAGCAGGGUUUGAGUCUUUGUUAAGGACAGGGUCUGAGCUGUUUCCUGAACCUUAGUGACCCUCUCCAACACUUAUAUAACCACAGAAACACUCUCAGAGAUCAUCACUCAUGUUAAUGGUUAGAACCAAACACUUCAGGACAACAGGCGUCUGUGACCAGGUCACUGUAGAAGGCCAGAGAUGGAUUUCUGUCAGAGCUGGACCAAUCAAAGAGCAGGAUUUAAUAGAGACCAGCAUCUACUGGCUGAGGAUGAAUCUUUAAUCAGUUCAUAUGAACUCAAUUGCUGACGUCCGAUAAAACACUUUCUCCUCUGCUUCCUGGAAGAUGAAACACAUCUAACCUUCCUCACUCUCCCCUCUCUUUUUCUCUUUCUCUCUCUCUCUCUUUUCUGACUCUAGCAGCUUGUUUUCUAGUAUUUCUGCAGCAGGACGGUUUUUUUGGUCUUUAUGUGGUUGGUACUGUUUCUUACUUUGAAAAUCAGUAGAAGCACCUUUACCUCUUAAUUCAGCACCUGAAGUCAGUCCUCUCCAAACUUUAGCGGGUUGAAUCUGAUCAGGGUUCAGCCUUCCUUCAUAUUUCUGAACUGUGUUCAGGCACUGGAUUUGGCUAAAUGUUGUCUCUCAGGUCACUCUUGAUAGUUGGCGAACUUUUUGACCUUGUGUUUUGGGGACUUUUUUGAGUCCAAUUGCGGUAUCAUGGAUGAAAGUUUGUAUUUUAAUUUUUUUAUCUGUCAUUAUUGAUUUAAUUCCUGUAAUAAUCAGAAUAAAGGUGAAUGACCAGUAUUAGCUCGAGGUUUGGAUCAUGGAUGUAUACUAUACUAUACUAUACUAUACUAUACUAUACUAUACUAUACUAUACUAUACUAUACUAUACUAUACUAUUCUGUGCUAUACUAUUCUGUGCUAUACUAUGCUAUACUAUAAUAUGAUAUAAUAUAAUAUAAUAUAAUAUAAUAUAAUAUAAUAUAAUAUAAUAAAUGUCAUACAUUAAUGAUCCAACAGUUUACGAAAAAACAACAUACUGUUAGAAGUAUACCAACAUCAUUUAAUCAGCUGUUUAUCUGCUUUGCUUUUGAUGAAGAUGUGAGUGAGGAUGAUUCUUAUCAGAAGAUGGAUAAUGGCUGAAAAACAGGGUCAGAGCUCACUGUGGAUUUAGCAUCACUGCAGCUCCUGUUACUGUAUUCACAGUGUGAAUAGGAAGUCUCCUGGAACCCACACAGAACAAUCCCAUAAUUCAGAAGACUGACUCGGCCAGAUUAUGGGCCUUAACCCUGGGAGGGUCUGCAUAAAAUAAUUCGUAACUGACCCUAACAGCCUCUAUAGGCAGAUUUUGGUCUCUGUAGUAGCAGUGAUGUCUAUUAACUCAGAUCUCUGAAUGUUACAGGAAACCUGUCUUCACUCAGCGCUUGGCCGGGGUUAAUUUCAGACCCUCUUUUGAGUUUCUGCAGAUUAAUUCUAAUAUUAUGUUUCAUUGAAAAUGCUUUAAACAGAAAUCUGAGCAGGCUGUCUAUGCCGAACUCUCAUCAACCUGGAAAAGUUCAUUAAUAAAUAAUGAAGCUCCAUUUAAGGUCCUAAUUUACAGAGGUACAGAGAAUGAAAAGAAACUGAGCUCAAGUCUCUGUACCGUUACAGCUCAGUAGUGAGUGGGGGGUGUCUGCAGAGGGUUUGGUCCAGGGUUUCUAGCUUCUCCUGACUCUGAGUGUUUCUCUGUUUGCUCUGCCGCGUGAUGCUCACUGAGCACAGGAUGCAAAUGAAGUCUGAAAUAAAGAGAGACAGGAAGCAGGAUGCAAAUGAGAGACAGAGACUGCAGCAGGAAAUGGAUGAGGGGGCACAGUUCAUGUGCAGGUGUACAGUAACAAGACACACGUACACACACGUAUACAUUUAUUUAUACACACAUUUAUAAACACACUCACACUUAACACGCUCAUGUUACCUCAUUGAAGGAUGAGGCUUUUGGAGAAUGUGAGGUAGAAUUUAGUCAAAUUUUCUGAUUUUUAAACAUUUAGUUUUUCUAACAGAUCCAUCUGUGAGGCUGAGAGUUCAGCUUUAACUCUGUUAGUCAUCCUGCUCAACACACACACACACACACACACACACAUAUACACACACACGCGUGCUCACAGAAACACACACUCAGACCACACACCUCCUACAUACCUGCUGCUCUGCGGAUGUGAGGGGACAGAGAUUAGCUGUGUGUGGGAGGACAGUCAGCACUGCUGUGCAUGUGUAUGUGUGUGUGCGUGUGUGUGUGUGUGUGUGUGUGUGUAUGUGUGUGUGUGUGUGAGUGAGUAGUGGGUGUUGGGGACAGUAGUCAUUCAACCAGCCACCCCUGUUGUGUCAAGAAUAAGCAGCACACACACAUAUGUACGUCUAUAUUAUGAUAAGGGGCGGAGCUUGUUGCAGGUUGUCGGUAUGUAUAAUUUAUUGUAAAGGGGCGGGGCUUGUUGUAAGUUGUCGGUAUAUAUAAUUUAUUGUAAAGGGGCGGGGCUUGUUGCAGGUUGUCGGUAUGUAUAGUUUAUUGUAAAGGGGCAGGGCUUGUUGUAAGUUGUCGGUAUGUAUAAUUUAUUGUAAAGGGGCGGGGCUUGUUGUAGGUUGCUUGUUGGUGGAUUGAGCAGACUCUCUUAGAUGUUGGUUUCAAUCCUGCUGCAGGACUUCUUCUGCAACCCUUUUGCCUUGCUUUAAUUCAGCCAAUAACAGCCCUGGGAUCGUCUGGAGUUGUAUUCCUCUGUAAACAUCCAGAAUUCUGUCAGAGCGGAGGAUCUGGCAGCUGCAUCCUGAACUGAGAGAGUGACAGUGAUGGCUGAUGUCUCCAAGAAAAUCUCUCUAAUCUCCCAGAAAUCCAUUUUUAGUCCCCCUGCCUCAUCCUCGCUCUGCCACCACGCCGGCUCAUUAUCACUGCAGUACAUCCAGAAGGUUUACAGAGUCAAUACUUAGAGUUUGUAUUUUCAGUCAUUUCACACCAUGGAGGAAACUCAUCAACAUGGAGGAGGAGACGCUCUGACACCUUUGGGAUCACAGAAACACUGAGGCUGUUUUUCUGAUUACAAUACAAACCGCAGCAGAUCAAGAAAUUUAAAGAAUCACUAUUGUUUUUAUUAUUAUUAUUAUUAUUAUUAUUGCCAUUUUUAUUAUUGUUGUUAUUAUUAUUAUUAUUAUAACUAUUAUUAUUAUUAUCAAUCAAUCAAAUUUAAUUUAUAUAGCACCAAUUCACAACAGUCGUUACAACAGUUAUUAUCAUCAUCAUUAUUGUUACAACCAUUAUUAUUAUUAUUAUCAUUAUUCUUAUUCUUAUUCUUAUUAUUAUUAUUAUUAUUAUUAUUAUUAUUAUUAUUGUUAUUGUUAUUAUUAUUAUUAUCAUUAUUAUUAUUAUUAUUAUUGUUAUUAUACAUAAAGUUUAUUAUUAUUCACAUACAACCUCACUGACCAAAGAGCUUUCAUAAGGUCUCCUUUAUGACCCUCCAUCAUGGGCACAUUACACAGGUUCAGCCUGGCCUCCAUAAACACAGUCAGCUCACACUAACUGUAUCCUGUAGUGAGUGAAAGCGAAAGUUUGGGUUAUUAUCCUCCUCUCUAAUGUGGACUUCUAUUACUGGGGCUGUUGUCAAGCUGCCGAUCGCAGAUUUCUGAUGCAACCGUGUGAAAAAGCCUCCAGGACGACCGGGACGGCGUCUGCAGAGGAAAACUAACGUAGGAUUACAAAGCGGAUAGAGCCGCCCCGAGGCUUUCAGAUCAAAAUACAGAGGGGAGAGGAAGAGAGGGGGAAGAAGAGGAGGAAGAAGGGAAGGAUUUUAAGACAGUAGAGACAAGAGUGCUUUAAAGAGAAGGAGGGAAAGAGGGUAAGGAAAGGAAACAAGGACAGAAGGAAACAUACAAAGGAUGAUACAAAAAGAAACAAUAACCAGAAAGAAGAGAGAGACUGAAGGGAACUAAAGGAGGAAUCAAGGACAGGAGGGACACUGACACUAAAGUAAGGAAGGAAAGGGAAAGAAAAAGGAAUCAAGGUAGAGUGUAGGAAAGAAAAAAAGGAGUGAGAGAGUAGGAAAUGAAACAAGGAGAGAAAGAAGAGGAAGCUAGGACAAAGAGGAGGAGGAGGAUAUAACUGAUGAAGAAACAGGGGAGGUAAGGAAAGGAGACAGAUGACAGAUCACUCACUGUUUCACAAAGAAACACAUGAGGAGGAGCUGCUGAUGCAUCAGGGGGUGCAGGUCUGCAGAAAUGUUUCAGAUGUGUGUCAGGGGUGUUUUCAGGUUAACAGUGAUGUUUCAGAGGUGUCUGCAAGUCUCCAGAAGUUUUUGUAGCUGAGUAACAUCUCUGCAGCCUCAGAGAAAAGCAAGAGGAGGAGCUGCUGAUGUACGUGUGCAGGUGUUACAGAGGUGUCUGCAGCCUCAAUCAGGAGGAACAAGCUGGUCGGUCUAAGGUCAGUCUGAGGGGUCAGCUCAGGGUAAAGAGGAUCUAGUGAGUUCCUGAAUAUUUUUCAUCCUGACACACUGACACAGUCUCUGUUAGAGGUCAGACCAGGAUCUAAAUGAGGCUCAGAUCCUAAAAGACGAAGUGAAUUGGAAGCUUUGACUUCCUGGAAAAGAGUUUCUUCCUCUUUUGAGGCGGGCCCAGAGGUUCACCAGGAGAUAAAUAUGGAGAAAGGAAAUGCCAGAAGGAGAAUUCCUUAAAAUAAAACAAUGGUCUGGAGCUCUUCAGGGUUCAAAUUCUGCGUUUCCAUGAAGCUGUAGAGCUUUAAAAUGAUUCAGUCUCAUGCUGUCUGCUGCAGCCCUCUCAGUCCUGCAUGUUUGGCUUCACUGUUAGCCUGGUUUAAUAAAUGAUAAUCUACUCUUCACUUAGAGAUGUUUGGAUGUGCUGCAUGAACCCUUACACGACCCCUUUCAGACCUCUUUGCAUAUUUUGGCACUGUGUGGUCAUAAUGAAACUUGGUUUGUUAUGCUCAUGAACUGUUAAUUUCACGUAUUCAUUCAUUUAUUUUGUGAGUAUUUGAUUCCCUCAGGUUCAGAUUAAACUCUCUCUGUUUUAUUCAAGUUUUUCUCUAAAAUGUCUCAUACAAUCAAACCUGAACCCAGAAAACCUUCACAGGUAAAAACCUGAAGUCAUGGCUGUAAAAAAUCACGACUCUGUGGAUCUCUUUCAACAUAUCUUUCCUCUGUGUUCGUGGUCUCCAUGGAAACAGAUUGAGGGUCAUUAAAAACAGACAGAGAUUUGUAAAAACUGUAUUUGUGUUAAUAUUUGGAUGUCUUCAGCUCUUUGUUUGUAUUGCAUAGACACAGAUACUUUUCACCACGAUGCAGACGACUCUGUCCUUGAAGCUGAUCACCUCCUUUGAUUCAGUAACAGAUCAGCUUUGUGACCAGCAGCUUGUUCUGAAUGCAGAUAAACUAAACUGUCGUUCUUAGAUCUAUAGCAGUGAAGGUCUGUCUGAUGGAGGACCAAGGUUUCCAAAGGCUGUCACUCUGGGUUUGAUCAGGGACAGUUUGUCUCUAAGGAGCAGAUCCAGCUGGAGGUUUUCCUACAGAAACAGAUCCUGCUUCAUCUUUGAGUACACACAGGCUUAGUUAUCAGUUUAUUUUCAUUUUUAAAGUCAUUCUGGGUGAAACAGUGGGAUAGUUUCUCUUCCUUUAACCCUGACGAGAAAACUUUCCAACCUUCAUUUGUGCAGUUUGUUUUUCCCGAAGUCUGAGCUGAGCUGAAAUGAAAUAUUUCUGUUUUUUUCACCUGAAAUAGUCUAUAGACUGAUUUGAACCUGAAAGUCUUUCAAAUCGUUAUUAGUCUGUAAACAAGGCCGUCUUCAUGCUGACCUCUAUCACAGUCUUUUUGGCCCUUCCUUGUGAGUCGUCUGUUUGGUUGUUGAAACUUUGUGUUGCUGCCAAACUCAGACAGGUCUAUGUGAGAACCAGCCCAGACUGAGCUGCAGAUACCUGCUCAGGGUUAGAGUCUAAAGGCUGACAGUAGCUGCGUUUACAUGGGCAAAAUUUCUCGAUCCGAUUAAAAAUUUGAGGGAUCGCAUAAUCUGAAUCCACUGUUUAUAUGGAUCACGACGUACGUAUACAUGCGUCAAGCUUUAUUCAGAUUAGAAGCAUUUGGACAUGCACAGAGUUGUCUGAUUUUGCUAAAACAACCACAGAAGAAGAGUUUUGUAUUUACGCCUGUGCUGUCAACAAACCAACAAACACGGUAGUGGCUCACUCCAUCCAAUUCAGGAGUUUUCUUCUUGUUAAAUGUUGUCACUAGAUGGCGCUCUUGUUUACUUAUUUUACUGUUCUGUCAAAGGUUAUUCUGUGCGUGCAGAUGUGACAUCAUUACGCAGUAUGUACGCCUUGUUAUG
rnacentral:lncRNA from 1 species